GUUUCGUUUUCUUUUUAUAAUGAUUGCUUUAAUUUUGGCCAUAUUUUGCCAAGUAAUAAUUACUUGAGAUACUUUUGCCCCAUUUUUUAUGAGUAAUAAAAAAGUAAAGAAUGAAUACCUGUUUUUGUAUAUUUCGCUGGGAACUGUCUCGGUUGCAAAACAAUAAAUUAAAAUAUUCCCAACAAAGUUUUGGACUUUGGCUAAUAACUGAGACAUAUUCAAAGCGUGUCAACCGGACAGAGAUGCCCAAAAUAAAUAGUUUUGUCAAAAGAGUGUUCCAUUCAAAUUCAUUCACUGUUGUUUGUCUCAAGAAUUUGGAUAGGCUGUCACAUAAUAAACGUCAAGGGAAGCAAUUUAUUUGUUAAUUAUACACUUAAUUUGCCAAGCGAACAUAGGAAAAAUCAUUAAAGUCGAGCAUGAACAAAGGCUGAAUGUUCUCACAGCGAUGGAAAAACUAAAUUUGAAUAUUCAUAGGCCUGGUGUUGCUGGUCACUCGAAUUGGUUUGGAUUGGAUUGGAUUGGCUGGGUAUUUUGGAUCGUUUGCCUCGGAAAGUCAAAGUCGUGAUAUAUCAGAGCACCCUGACCUCUUCGCCGUCCCGCUGCUCUGUAUUUUAAAAUUUUAUUUAUUUUUUUUUUUAAUGGCGAAUAGUCGUGCCCAUGUCCCCUGUCCAUGUCCAAAACUCAUUUGCAUGUUACAAGUGUAUACAAUUAAAAAAUGCUAGGCAUAACAACAACUAUUGGCGGCGCACAGGCUGAUUAAUAUUCAUUUUUGGCUACGUCAGAGGCGUCUAAAGUAGUUAUCUGGGUGUGGUGGCCCCUUCAAUAAUUGAUGUCAAUUACGCAUUGUCGAACACUGAAAAGCAUUUAGGCCAGAAAUGGCCCGAUGUCUUAUUACUAUUUGCAGUCAGUCAUAGGUGAGCCUUGUAGACAGGCAUUAUUAUUAUUGUAUCUUAAUCUUAGGCUCAUUGUACGCACACACAAUCGCACACACACUUUGCGGCCAAUUUGUAUUCAUUAGCUGGCCACCGCAGACUGUAAUUUAAAAUCGUUAAAAAUUUAAUGAGGCGUUAAUAAUACGGUUUUUGUUUUACUUAUAGCCCCGCUCUCACCCACCACAAUCCCCCUUGCUCCUGCUCCUGCUCCUCCAUGAGGUCUUGUGGCUCAGUGGCCAUGGCUUUCCAGUUCAUGUCUACGGGGUCUGUCUUUAAUUUUCUUGUCGCAGUCGUUGUCGCCGACAUUGUCAUUGCUUUUUACUGCAAAUGAGUGCCGCGGUCCGUGUUAGUUCCUUCGCACUACCAGCGGUACACUGAGCGAAAUAGGCACUGCAGAAGUCACAAAAAAGAUUUGUAACUAUGUGAAAUGUGCCCUGAACUGGCCAAGGACCUCUGAUAUGUUAGUGUUGAAGAUCAUCAUUAACAUUAUUUAUUUUAUAUAUUUAUUUAUAAUUAUUUUUGGCCAUGUAUUUCAUGGAGGAUUUCUUCCUUCAAAACUUUUAGCACAAGUCAUGUGUUUUAGGAACGAAACCUAAUAUACUAAUCGGGUUUUUUUCACCGUGCACUCCGUGAUGUCCCUGUCCCAGACGGUGCCACAGGUAUCCGUGAGUGUGUCUCCCCCAUCAUCGUCAUCAUCAUCAUCAUCGGCACCCAGCCCCAAACGCAUGGGGAUGUGUGGCAGGGUGUCAGGGGAUGUGUGGCAUUGGUCGCUCAGGGGUUACUGGGGGAUCUGGGGGCAUGUGGCAGGGUAGUCGGCGUUCUGUUGCGGUUGCCGCGCUGGGAACUUAAUUGACUUGCAAGUGACUAAUUGUGCAUGAGUUCGACAUGGGAGCGGUGGAGGAGGAGGUAAGGAUCUACCUUAUAGCGAUGUAGUCGCUGUCGAUGGCGACAGGCAGACGGUGCGUGUAAUAUGAGCUAUGCCAAGAAGAGCGCUGCAAAUGAAGUUGUUUAGUGCCCCGGCUGUUAUUGUUAUUGUUGCUGUUGCUGUUGGUGUGGAUGGAUGCCUUGGCCUUUGUUGCUCGUCAGCUGCUAAUGCCGUUGUUGGUAGUGAGGCGUGCCGCCUAAGCAGCUUUAAAAGGAUGACGAUGACAGGGCACAGACAGCGGACAAAACAGCCGCAACUGGCUAACUUGGCCAACACAACCUGGCCAAGUUAGCUCGAUCGCUCGGUUGGUCGGUCUUUCGGUCACAGGCCAUAAAUUGGCAGUCGGGCACGGGGAGAAAAGAUGAAACGGCCAGAAACUUAAGGCUGAUUGCGAUUUAUCUUAGGCAUUGGUUUGGCUACUCAGACCAGUUUCGCGAAUAUGUUGUGAUUUAUAGAUAUUUGUCUAAUUUCAACUUAAUUUAAAUCAUUCCAACAAAUAUACCAAAAUGUAAUGAGCCAUAGCCGAAUAAAAAGUCAACUUAAUUGACAUAUGCUUAAUGUGUUAAGUGGCAAUUAUUAAAAUUAAUAAAAUUAUUGACGACGUUGCUGGAAUGGCCAAUCAAUUAAUUAUGUCUACCACUUAUUUCUCGCCGUGUAUGGCGGUGACUUGCGUUUGACAUUUUGCAUCAUGACCAUUUUUGGGCAGGCAGCAAAGCCAAAAACGCGCAGAAAAAAAAAGUUGGAUGACAAUUUCUCAGUUUUGCAAUCUCAGAAUUAGCCAACAAAAGCAAACAGAAACCACAGCAAACUGACAUUUACGAUUGUGAUUUUCAGCAGCCGUUGUACAAAAAAGUCCAAGUGUGUUGAGAGAAAAACCCGAAAGUAGUUUGGCAAACUUUAUGCCAAAUGGAUUUCGGGCAAUUGCAUUUUCCAUUUUCGUUGUCAUUGAUAUGUCCAAUAAAUUGUCACGAAAUCGGCGCCGACAUUGCCAUGUGUCAUAUGUGUCCUUAUAUAUAUGCCCACAUCGGUGCAUAUAUCGAAACGUACAAGUCGUUUUUUGUUUUUUUAUUAUGAUUUUUAUUUUUAUUUAUUUGACUGGCGGCCUGACUGGCGCAACGUGGGAUCACAGUUCACUGGCUAAAUUAACUAAAAUUAACUAAUUGCUGUUAAUAAACUGCCAAAGGCGAACGGCGGCACCGCAAGCAAUAAUACAUUUAAUUAACUAAAUUAAAGCUAAUUAAAAUCUUGCCAGAGCAAGAAAAUGUCCAAAAAUAAGAGAAACAAGAGAUGGAAAACAUACGAAGGAAUGAACUGCGGUUUAGGAACUAAGGAACUUGAAGGUACAAAGUUCAGCUAAUUUUGAGAUCAAUCAAUUAGUGUUCAAAACUUUGCCCAACUUCAUUAGAGAAGAUUACGUAUACCCUUAGGUGAAAGAACUCAUCAAUCUUGAAGUUUUCCUGCGAUUACAACAUAACUUCUGCACUCACAAGCUAAAAGGGCUUUAAAAAAGCUAAUUGCACUUUAAAAAACAUAAACAAUAAAUUGGCAAAUUUAUGGCAUUUCAGCAAGGUCUGCGAAAAGAAAAAACGAGUAACUCAAAACACAAGCGCAAAGCCGCUGAUAAGGCAAAAAACUUGAAGAGAAUUUAUGUAAGGGUAAAUAAUUGCGAUAAAGCGAUAAUGUUAUAUAUUUUACAACGUCUCGAGUUAAAUGCAGCUGACAGUCGGCUGUCAAAAGGCGGAAAAAUACAAAAAAUACAAAAUAUACAACAAAAUACAAAACUCCGCCUGGAAUCGAAUGUUGUGACUGCUGUCUAUGGCCCGAAGCCUUUUGGCAGUUAGGCAAAUGAGUUGACUGAAAAAAAAGCCCCGUUUAUUUAAAUUAACACCGCGAAGACCCCUCUCGCAUUUUUCCCAAUUUGGUCUUCGAUGGAGAGUCUUGUAAUUAGCCCGCCUCAAAUUGCCCGGCGGUUAAAUAUGCAUUAAUUAAGUGUUAAACGCCGCGGCGACCCGGGAAAAGUUUAUUCAGCUGCCGCAGUCGAGCAGCGUGUCAAUAAAUACAUAAAUAAAUAAGCUAAUGAAGCUGCCAACUGGAGACUUUAUGGCACCAACUUUCUAUUGCACUUCUCUCACACGGUAGGUGGAAUUUUUUAGUACAAGCUAUUUGAAAGCAAUUACGUACACACUGCCCGUUGAAACCCACCCACACGCUCGAAUAAUGUCAUAAAAAUGCAUCAAUCACAGGGGACAUGUGGCGCGCUGGCCGUUCGUUGGUUAGUCAUUAAAUUGGUUAAAAGCCAGCCAUGAGUUGGCAAUAGAUGCGCUGUUCGGAUUUCAUUUUCAGAAAAUCCCGCAGACGCAUUAUAUUUAAUUGCCUUUCCCUCGGCGCAGCGUGGCUGAUGUCACUUGGCCAACUGCGAAACGGGGCAAUUGCAGUAACUGACUGUGAUUGCAACUAGCUGCUUCUGUAGUGGAUGCUGCUGCAAGUUGCUGCUACUUCAAUGUUGCAGCUUUGAUUUGGUACUUUGCUAGCUAUCGUCGAGUUGUCUGGUGCUAAUAGUUUCUUCUCCAUCUUAAAAAAACUUAUCUCAGACCUUCAAAAACUAAUAUCCAUUGGAUAAAUGUGCAAAAAAAGACAUUUAUUUAUUGAAAUAAAUGUUUUAGCAAGUUUGUGCAGUGGUAGACUGUGUUGUGGUUAUCAAGAACAUAUGUACAUUUCAUACAUACAUUUCACUUUUAUUAUCAAAAAUGAAAGCGUAUCUCGCACGCAAUCUUAUCGCGGUUUUUAUUAAAGUGACGUUGAACUUGAAAGUUGCACUUUACGUGAGUGAAGUGCCAAUCCGGCCCUUCCCACUAAAUAAAAGAGCAAACAUUUCCAAGAAAACUAAAGCCUAAGGAGUUUACUAUGGGCUGUCUAGAAUAUUGUUUGAUUGGGUGAUUGAGAGUCCUCACAGCAAAGCGCUUGUGUAAAUAGUUCGUUAUCAACACUCUGAACGCGUUUAAUUAGACAGUUCAAAGCUGCUCUUGUACAAAUCCAGAUGCCCGGAUUCUUCCACUAUUAAAGUAUUUUUUUAAAAUGUAUAUUUUUUCAUUUAGCGCUGCAGUUUGAUUUAGCGUUUGUAGCGUGUUGGCUUAACAAUUAGCACAGCACUCAAUUGCUAUUUGAGCAGCCAAACAGUGUGGCGUUCCGAUGUGUACCCAGUUAUAUGUUUGUGUAUAUUGAAUUCUGGCAGCGUGUGUCGAUUUUCAAUUGCAUCAUCAAAAAGCACGUGCAUUGUAUGUAUACAAAAUAAAGAUAUAAAACGGAAAAUACCGGAGUGGCAGGAGCAGAAAAAACCAAGUAAAUGCAAACUAAAACGCAUUCAAUUUAGAAACAAAAGGCCAUGAAGGAGACUAUUUUCAAAAUUGCAUUUGUGUGGAAAUUGCCAAAAAAAAAAAAAAAAACCAAGGCGACUACAAUUGCAUUUGGCUGCUCUUUUUUCACUGAAUUUUUUUUCUUUUUGGUUUGGCAUAUAGAAAAGCGAUUUUCACAGCCAAAUGCACAAAUGAAAAUUAAAAUGCAAACUGCUGACUGAGACGUCGGCACAGAGAUGCGGCCUGACUCAUCGGCAGUGGCAAUACUAGAAUUGCAGCAGUUGCUGCGAGUUGAUGCGAGUUGCUGCUGCUGCUGCAGUUGGCAGCCAAGCGAGCGACAAUGACGACCGGCGACCGGCGACAGUCUGUGCUAAAAGUCUGCGCCCCGUUAAUUUGGCAACUGCAAAAACGUGUCUGUGCUCCGCGGUGCCUCGUUUUCGUUUUUUCCCCAUUUAUUUGUUACCCAUUGUCGCUGGGAACUUUAAUUUAUGCCAGAAGUUUACGAUGGCUUACGAUGACGUACUUGUAUUUUUAUAUUCAUCUUACCUUCAGACUUCUUAAUAUCUUGCUUUUUACUAUCUUUUUUAUAAUUUUCUAUCCAAUUAUUUUUAACAGCUUUUGUGGUGCGCAUUAUUAAGAAUAUGUAUGUGCAAAUUUAUUGUUCUGCAAACUAGUAAUAAAUUAAACUCAACUCCUUACUAAUUCAAUAAAAUGUUUGGUUUAUUACCUCUGCUUCCCUUGCACUUCAUUGUGAAUUUGAAAUUUCGCCCAUUUUGCCUACUCACUUGCACAUUCCUGUGCAUUUUUCAAUUUUCCUCUUGAAUUUUAUUAUAUAUUUCAAUACCAGCGAUUGCACUCAAAUAAAUAAGUAAACAGAAUAAUCUGGUUUGCCAUCCAAUUGAACGCAAUGAGGCGCUGCACGAUGAAAGUUGCCAAGUUGUCAACAUUUCAUUUGAUAUUUUAUUUCUCUUUUGAUUUCCCACUCUGGUCCACUCGGUCACAGGGUCUUUGACACUUGGUAGCUGGGGCAAUUAAACGGCUAGGGCACCCCGAAAAUAUCCCCAUGCCCCACAGGCCCAUCCUUGUGCCCCAUCCCCAUCCGAAUACCCGAGCAUCCACUAUCCACCAUCCGGAUUGCGUUGCAUAAGCGGUGGGCUUUGGCUCUGCUCUCUUUGCUUUGGGCCGCAAAUAUUUGCCGGCUAAAUUUAGCAGCGCGCCAAAAAAAUAAAACAUAAAAAAGGCAACGGACCAAGCGUUUCAAAUAUACAUUGCCUAUUUUACCAAAUUUCCUCUUUCCUCUCUAUAUAUUUUUUAAUGCUGUAAAGAUUGGGUGCCAACAUUUCGCUUGCUCGCUGUGAACGCGAUAUACAGUUCGGUCAAUAUUUAUAUAUAGCUUAUAUUUAUUACAACAAUAUUUUCUUGUUUUUUUUUUCUUGGGCAUACCGCGGUAUUUUUCGUCAAUUUUAUUGGUCAAAUAUUUGUUUCAUAAAUCAGCAAAAGGGAAAUAUUUCGAAAUUUUUAAAGAAAACAUAUACACACGUUGUUCACAAUAAAUACAAAAAAUAUGAGAAAUUUGUGGUAGGGGAGCAGUCGGAAUGCAUUUCCUUGGAGAUUUAUGUGUGCCCCAGAAUUAAUUAAUAUUUAUUUAUAGUUGACUUUACUUGAGGCCCAAAGAAAGAGCCCUGGCGACACUUUGCAUUCGACCCAUUACCAUAGAUAUUUAUUUCAGAUACGACGAGUUCACACACUUUAUUUAAUGCGCUGUUGAUUGAAAGGCCCCAAGGGGAUUUCUGGAAUUCAACGGCUUGAUGUAUUUUACGAGCUGAAUACUAAAUAUUUUGGUGUGAUUUUAUGUGGUUUCGUUGAAAGUCGAGGGCAAAGCGAAUUCUUUUCGCAAUAUUUGAGUAGAAUAUGGCAUUCUAUCACAGACUUUGCACAUUAUAUAAUUCUUUCGUUUUAAAGAAAUUAAAUAAGUAUCGGCUACCUUCUUAGUUUGUUAUAAAUGCCACAUAAAACGUCAGCUAUAAUAAGGCUGAUUUGCAAAAGAUAAAUUUGCAAGAGGGAGGGAACCACAGCAUCAGCAGCAAAAACAACAGAGAAUAAAACUCAAUUAAUUAGUGUCAAAAUGGCGCAAGCCGUAGCCGAAUUUGGGUAUUCCUGGAGCUAAUGGAGCUCAGCUUGGAUCUCCGGAUGAGGGCAGGUCAGUCUCCAGCUGCUCCUGCUCCAGCUGCUCCUGCUUCUGAUUUUCCUUCGAUGCUGUCAGUGGGCAAAUUAAUGGAAUCAGCGACGCUAUUAGCCAACUACGGCCGCUGCCCCAGCGUGGCCAUAACGGCAAUUUAUCUUUUAGCCCGAAUUAUCGAUCGCAUUUCAUAUGAGCGACAGGCAGGGGCAUCGCUUGAAAUUUAACUUUUGUGCUCUGCACACUUUGCCGUAGCCGCGUUUCGUUCGGUUUCCUUUUUGUGUGUUGACUGGGUCUGGGUUCCCCCAAAAACUUAAUGGUUUAUCUAUGUUUGCCAUUAGGUAACUGUCAGUUCCGCAAGCAACAAGGGUAGUAGUGGUACACACACAUACAGACGCAAGCAGCCAACGGAGUCGAUACCGAGAGCCGACUGUUAACUUGGCUUAUUGAGUUGUACGGCUCGAGUCGCGACCUUUUUAUCGCCGGCCAAGUAUCUGCAAGUCGCAAUUCGCAAGUCGCAAGACGGGCGGGUCUCGAGUAAUUUCCUAGUGCCAGUUUCUGGUAAUGAAAAAGGGGAGCGCCAAGAAAACGGACGGCAACAAGAAACACAAUUUUUGGCACGCGAAACUUGCGCUUAUUCAAUUUUCAAACAUCGCCCCACAGCCAGCCAACAUGGCGUAUGAGCGCUUCCGCUCUGCUUCACUUCCGCUGCGCCGCACAAAAAGUCCGAGUCCCGUCUGUCUGCCCUGAAUGCACUGGGAGAAAAUGCAUGAAGUUCUUAAACUACUUUCACUCUGUUUUAAAAUCAGCGCUUGAUGCAUUUUUAAUGAAAAAGAAAGCAUCAAGCAAAAUAUUGAUCGAUGUUAAAAGGAAAGGAACAUGUUAUAUUUUGAUUGUUUAUUUAGGCUGCAGUUUUUGCCCAGUGAUUAGUUUGAAAACUUGAAACGAACAUGAACAAAGCGCGCCGCGGCAAUCAUUCAUAGUGGCAUUUAGGCGGCAUUGUUGUUGCGUCGCCAGGGUGGACAGGAAUUUAGGGUGGCUCAAAAUCUAGGGGCUGUUUGCUCCUGCGGACAAAAUCCUUUUUCGGUGUGCGUGUGUGUGGUAUUUUUUGCAUGCGACGUCAAAGCUGGCGUCGGCAAACUUUUUGGCUGUUUACCCUCGUACACUGAGCGACAGAGCCCACCUGAUUCCCCCCACUCGCCGAGUUUUUGUUAAUUAAGAUGAAUGCGUUGCGCGUUUAACGGCUUAAAUGGAACGGAAGUUCUGGGCUCCGUGGGGGGCAGUUCGUCUGUCUGCUGCUCCUCCUACUUGACUUUCUUGCAGUGUAUUUAUUGAAUGGGUUGGCCAUUCUCAUAUGACAAAAAAAGCAGAAGAAAAGGGCAAAAAAAGCAAAAAAAACUGGGAAAGUUCAAGGAAGCGACAGACCCCCUGCGGCCAACUAAAACAUCCCAUCCGUUUGCAUAAUCUUUAAUAUUCAAAUGCGGGUUGAGUGAGGCGGAAAGGAAAUGCUGCUUUACGACCAUUAUAUAAAUAAGAAAUCUGACAUAAUGUCGGGACGACAGUGUGAAUGAUAAGUGAUGUUUGUCACGAAGGAUUAUAAAGGGAAAUGUUUCACUUUAAUGUGUAGUCUUCCCGUCUGUCACGAAGGAUAAUAAGCCAAAAGGUUUGGCUUGAAAGGUAAAGUCAGUUUUAUCUGUUUAUCUGUUAAAUGGACAAUUUGCCAAAAUUCCAAGCAUAAUUUGGCACAAGCCCAUAAAAACGAAGCGAACUAUAAAUCGCGCUGUCCAAAACUAACAAAAAUAAUAUUACUUUUUUAAGCAAAUUAAUGGAAGGGUGUAUAUAUGUAUAACUUAUAUUCUAAAUGAAAGGAAAGACAUCUGCUUGUUGUAAUUAGACUUCCUGGAAUUAGCAAACAUCCUGAUUCAGUCUGUAAAAUUCAAUAAAAAUCUCCCAAAAACGGACUUUAAUCUACCUUAUCAUCUCGAGGGCAUAGAUGACUCUCUGUAAUUUUCACAAAUCGAUAUGACAACUGUUCCCUUUUCGGACCUUAAAGCGGACCACCCUGUCGCCGGUAAUCCCAUCAGUUAAAUAUUUUUUGUUGCGUGCCAGAUUUAUGCAAGCACGCAAUCGGAGUGACUUGUUCGUGUUGCGUGUUUGCAGUUAAUGCGACCAUAAUUUAAUAUUUCUGUGUGCAAAAUGUUACAAUGCCCUCGACUGUAUCUCCGCCCGUUUGUGGCAAGUUGUGCGCCCGUUGUGGAUCAUAAUCAACCCUCAUCUAGGGCAGAUUCCCCGUUUUGAGGGAUGGUUCCGUGGUCCGUGGCAGCAACUUGUGUUGCAAUUGUCUCGCAUUUGACUGAUGAGUUUCAACGCCGCCAUUUGAAGAGCAGUGGCAGGGUAUUGCAAGAUUGAAAGUUGGGGGCACAGCGAGCGGGGCAAUCAACAACCCUCUUCAGAAAUUAAGUUGUGUCGAAAUCGAUGCCGCCGCUGCGAGGGGAGGUUGAACCGAACCGAACCAAACCGAAACGUCGACGCCAACCGCAUGUCAAUCAUAAUUAAAACUUUUCCCCUUGGGAGGGAGUCAGGUUGAGUCUGCCGAGCUGUGAGCUGUGAGCUGUAAGCUGGCUUCGGGCUUUGGGUUUAUCUUAUCGCACGCUUGAUUGCUUUCCACGGCCCCCAGACAAACUGACGGGGAGUUUGUGCACCAUGCCAUAUGAUGUGAUAUGCUACUACGAGCAUAUCUGUAUAUAGCAUCUGCAGUUGGUCAGCCCAGCCAGUCAUUCAUGCAACUCCGGCCAUUCAUUCAGUUGCAGCCAUCCACAGGGAGUAGCGGACAUUUGCUGCCAAAUAUGGCAGUCAGUGAAGUCUGGUCUGCGCCUCAUUAUCAAUUUUCCAUGCUGCAGACCAUUCGAGCAGCGCUGCUAGUUUAGCUAGAAAGAAGCUGAAAAGCUUCACUAACCCAGCACAUUUGUAAGAUUCCAAGUACAUUUCCCUUUUGAGAAUAUAAAAAUUCUAUAAAGUAUUUCUGUGUAAAGCAGCUAACUUUUAACUUUAACUGUCAUUUUUAUAAACAUUCAAGAUGAACAUUUCAUAAUCUGAGCUAUGUAUUUGAAAUAGCAUAAAAUGGUAUUAAAACUCAAAACUGUGCUGCUUGCAGCUAUUUUCAACAGCAUUGCCAAGUGGAAUGUGCGUUCAGUCGGUCGUGCAACAUUCGUCUGUCAGCGGCAGGCCAAGAGCUAAAAAGAAGAAGCUGGAAAACUAAACGCAAAAAUCCUACAACUCGCCCCCUGCUGCUCCACCGAACUGCUCCUUGAACCCCUGCCAAAGGAGGAGGAACUCGGAUGAUUUUCUGUCUGGCUUGCAAAUUGAAGUGGCUCCCGGAGCGCAAAAAGUGUGUGGAAUGGGUAUGUUGGGCUGGCCGACAUUUCGGGAUUACGAGUGCGCUGCUUAAAGUGUCACUGCUGCCAUUGGGCAUGCUCUUUGUUUAAUAAAUUAUUUAUGGGACAGGCCGAGAGAGGCAGGUGUAUUAUUUCGCUCCAGCUGGCGACACGUGGCAAUGGCCUUUGAUGGACCAAAAGGAGAAAAAACCCGGAAGUUUGCAUAAACAAGAGAGGAACACUUAAAAGCGAAACAAAAAACCAAGCGAAAAAUAAGUGUUAUUGUGUUUGUCCUCUAUUUUUGCACUUUUCCUCUUCACUCAAUGACACCUCAGCAAUCAAAAUGGCUCAUUAAUAGGAAUAAAUACAUUAGCAUGGAUUUUCAUCAAUCAACCGGUCGAUAAAGUAAAAAAAUGUAUUUGCCAUAAUCAAUCAAAGAAAAUAAAUUGGCAAUGCACAGAGUCCAUGAAUGUUAAGAGGUCAGAAUGUUUCUGUCCCCUUCAUUUUCUCCACACCCUGCGCUAAUUGGCAGUGCGAAGCGGGUGUCCCUGCCAACCAUAAACAGCCCCACAACCCCACAACCCCACCACCCACAGCUCCACCAUCUCGGUGGAAUCUGCAUUCAAUUAACGCCGGAAACGCGCGGCAGAAGGAAAAGGGGGAAAAGUCGCUGAUAAGGACACGGUCACCCAGGAGGAAAGGAGCGUGGCUUGCUGCAGAGACAUGUAAUAAAUGUUGAACAUUCUCGUGCUGCUUUAAUUAAUACAAUUAAAUGUCGAGUGAGAAUAAUUGAAAUUGCACGAGUUGAUGAAGGAGAAUCCCAUAAAAGAAUUACGCAUCGCACUGGAUAUUCGAUAUUGCAGCUUACUUAUGUUUUUCCAUGUACACAAAAAAACGCGAGUGAAUAUAAACAUUUAAUCGAUGGAGAUGUUUGCUUGGAUCAGCUGACAACACAUUGGGGAUCAGCAGUAAAAAUCAACAAAUACAUUUAUGUUUAUACUCAAAUUUCAAUCGAUUCGAUAACUGAAUCAAGGUUAAGUGCCAUUUGAUUUUUAGUUGUUUUUUGUAGUUCAGGUCUGUAAAUAAAACCACACACUACAUGGGACAGUU